rnacentral:rRNA from 1 species
AAUUUUGGGCAAUGGGCGCAAGCCUGACCCAGCGACGCCGCGUGGGGGAUGAAGGCCUUCGGGUUGUAAACCCCUGUCAGGAGGGACGAAGCCGCAAGGUGACGGUACCGCCAAAGGAAGCACCGGCUAACUCCGUGCCAGCAGCCGCGGUAAUACGGAGGGUGCAAGCGUUGCUCGGAAUUAUUGGGCGUAAAGCGCACGCAGGCGGCAGGAUAAGUCAGUUGUGAAACUCCCGGGCUUAACUUGGGAACUGCAGCUGAUACUGUCCUGCUUGAGUACGGAAGAGGGGAGCGGAAUUCCCAGUGUAGAGGUGAAAUUCGUAGAUAUUGGGAGGAACACCGGUGGCGAAAGCGGCUCCCUGGUCCGAUACUGACGCUCAUGUGCGAAAGCGUGGGGAGCAAAC